rnacentral:rRNA from 1 species
GACAGAGGGGGCAAGCGUUGCUCGGAAUUACUGGGCGUAAAGGGCGCGUAGGCGGAAUGGCAAGUCGGUCGUGAAAUCCUUCGGCUCAACCGAAGAACGUCGAUCGAAACUGCCGUUCUUGAGGAUUGCAGAGGAGACUGGAAUUCCCGGUGUAGCGGUGAAAUGUGUAGAGAUCGGGAGGAACACCGGUGGCGAAGGCGGCCAUCUGGACGGAUACUGACGCUGAGACGCGAAAGCGUGGGGAGCAAACAGG